AAAGUCCACUGGGGGUGCCGAUAUGGCUGAGAUAAGGUAUAGCCUUAAUCCCUUCGAACCUGAUCUGGAUUAUACCAGCGUAGGGAAGUGGUAUCGUUGACCG
rfam:Aneurinibacillus migulanus strain DSM 2895 super7, whole genome shotgun sequence.